AUGCAAGUCGAACGAAGUAGCAAUACUUAGUGGCAGACGGGUGAGUAACAUGUAGGUAUCUGCCCUUUGGCCUGGAAUAACACGAGGAAACUUGUGCUAAUACUGGAUAAGUCUUUACGGAGAAAGCUUUAUGCACCAUUGGAUGAGCCUGCACUUGAUUAGUUUGUUGGUAGGGUAAUGGCCUACCAAGACUUUGAUCAAUAGCUGAUUUGAGAGGAUGAUCAGCCACAUUGGGACUGAGACACGGCCCAAACUCCUACGGGAGGCAGCAGUGGGGAAUCUUGCACAAUGGAGGAAACUCUGAUGCAGCGAUGCCGCGUGAGUGAAGAAGGCCUCUGGGUUGUAAAGCUCUUUCGUCGGGGAAGAAAAUGACUGUACCCGAAUAAGAAGGUCCGGCUAACUUCGUGCCAGCAGCCGCGGUAAUACGAAGGGACCUAGCGUAGUUCGGAAUUACUGGGCUUAAAGAGUUCGUAGGUGGUUGAAAAAGUUGGUGGUGAAAUCCCAGAGCUUAACUCUGGAACUGCCAUCAAAACUUUUCAGCUAGAGUUUGAUAGAGGAAAGCAGAAUUUCUAGUGUAGAGGUGAAAUUCGUAGAUAUUAGAAAGAAUACCAAAUGCGAAGGCAGCUUUCUGGAUCAUUACUGACACUGAGGAACGAAAGCAUGGGUAGCGAAGAGGAUUAGAUACCCUCGUAGUCCAUGCCGUAAACGAUGUGUGUUAGACGUUGGAAAUUUAUUUUCAGUGUCGCAGCGAAAGCAAUAAACACACCGCCUGGGGAGUACGACCGCAAGGUUAAAACUCAAAUGAAUUGACGGGGACCCGCACAAGUAGUGGAGCAUGUGGUUUAAUUCGAAGAUACGCGCAGAACCUUACCAACACUUGACAUGUUCGUCGCGACUUUAAGAGAUUAAAGUUUUCGGUUCGGCCGGACGAAACACAGGUGCUGCAUGGCUGUCGUCAGCUCGUGUCGUGAGAUGUUGGGUUAAGUCCCGCAACGAGCGCAACCCUCACUUUUAGUUGCCAUCAUUUAGUUGGGCACUCUGAAAGAACUGCCAGUGAUAAGCUGGAGGAAGGUGGGGAUGACGUCAAGUCCUCAUGGCCCUUACGUGUUGGGCUACACACGUGCUACAAUGAUAUUUACAACAGGAAGCAAAACGGCGACGUUAAGCAAAUCCUCAAAAAAUAUCUCAGUUCGGAUUGCACUCUGCAACUCGAGUGCAUGAAGCUGGAAUUACUAGUAAUCGUGGAUCAGCGUGCCACGGUGAAUGCGUUCCCGGGUCUUGUACACAUCGCCCGUCACACCAUGGGAGUUGGUUCUACCUUAAGGCAAGGUUAAAAUCCUGACCA
rnacentral:rRNA from 1 species